rnacentral:hammerhead_ribozyme from 1 species
AUCAAGCUGACGAUUCUUAAGUAGGACGAAACGCGCGUCCUGGAU